AGACUAACAGUUGUCAGUGAUUUCAUGAUCACGAAGGUGGUUUUCCCUGGUCAAGGCUUAUGGCCAUUGCACUUUGGAUGAGCUGACCUCUGCGUUUUCCCCAAAUGUCGGAAACUCAACUGCAUAGUUUGUGGCCGUAGAUACACAGAUAUACAGCUAGUAUCUG